AAAUUUAUUUAUUUUUUUAAAUACUGUCAUUUACCCACUCUCCACAGGAGGGCGCCAUUCGUAAUGAUAUACCCGUUGCCCCCAGUGACGGCUGACAUUGGCACUGCAGAAGGGAAGAGCCUCCCACUCCGGAGCUGUCAACCCCAAACAGCACUCACAGCUGAGAACCUGAUGAAGCCGCCCUUCUCAGGAACUUCAGCACGUCCGAUUCCAUUGGAUGGCUGAUUAACGGGCAUUUGCUGUGACCUGCAUUCCUUAGAAUCAGGUGUGCUGAAAGCAGGGAAAACAGCUAAAACAUGCAGGGAACUGCGUGCCUUGAGGACCAGGGUUGGGAAACGCUGCAGUACAGACCGACCGUGUUGCCUCUAAUCUCCUUCGGCAGCACUUCACUGUCACCGACGGUGGUGAGGAAGUCACAACGUCAGUCAGUGAAACGUGAACCCCGAGAGCAAACCGGUUCUGAGAACACGCUGGAUUUCACAGGAUGAAAACAUGAGCAGAUCUUUCUGUGCUUUUGACGCGUCAGACUUUCAAGUCACAAAGAAUUUGAAUUUCUCAGUUUCUAAAUAAAACCAACACUGAUUGUGGUUCGGGAAAUUCACCAUAAAGGCAACAACAAACAUA